rnacentral:rRNA from 1 species
GACGAACGCUGGCGGCGUGCCUAACACAUGCAAGUCUGGGAGAAAAGGGUAGCAAUAUCCUGAGUAAACCGGCGAACGGGUGAGUAACACGUAAGCAACCUUCCUUGUGAACGGGAAUAACCCCGCGAAAGCGGGGCUAAUACCCGAUGAUGUUUCGAAGCAGCAUUACUUUGAAAUCAAAGGCCCCAAAAGGGCGUCAUAAGAUGGGCUUGCGUCCCAUUAGAUAGUUGGCGGGGUAACGGCCCACCAAGUCGACGAUGGGUAGCUGGUCUGAGAGGACGAUCAGCCACACUGGAACUGAGACACGGUCCAGACUUCUACGGAAGGCAGCAGUGAGGAAUAUUGCUCAAUGGGCGAAAGCCUGAAGCAGCGACGCCGCGUGAGGGAUGAAAUCCGUUAGGAUGUAAACCUCUUUUACAGGGGAUGAAUGUCCCGACUUGUCGGGAUUGACCGUACCCUGUGAAUAAGCACCGGCCAACUACGUGC